AAAGAUCUAACUCGGACAUAGAAGGAAGCCCGAUUGCUUCGGAUAGACACCCCCUACCUUUUUAUAGCGUUCCGAUUGCUCGUCGUCACUCGCAAUCGGCCUCCCGCGGCGCACGCCGCUCGGCUCGACCCUAUUCACGCGCGACCACCGAACGACCUCCGCUUCGCGAUCCGAGAAUUAUAGGUCUUCGGUUUUCUGUUACGAUGCUCGGGAUCCAAUCCCACGAUUUAUGGAAGCCGCCUCGACUCCCCAGGUCAAAACGAACUCACGAACACUUAUUUCAGCCGGAACGUCGCACCCGCUCGACGAAUCGACGAACCGUCGCUUCCUACGCGUUCGGAGACACAACAAUUAGGUUUCUGACCACUCAAAAGAGAUCAAACCCAACUACUUACAAAAACCCCAUUUUUAACCCUAGGUUUGCAAUUAGAUAAAAAUCCACCAUUAGGGCUUUGGAUUUAAGCUUUGAUCAUCUACUUAGCAUCAAAGAGGUCCACUAAAUCCAUUUAUAAGGAUUAAAACCCAAGCUCUAGUGAUCUACCAUUAAAGCCCUCAUUUGGAGCCCCUAGGUUUAACAACAAGGAUGGAAUCCAUGGUUCAAGCUUCAAAUCCGAGCUAGAACCAUCUUUCCAACACCAAUGGGUUCCAUUCGAACCACUCCUAAACAAUCAAAACCCUCAAACCCUAGAAAUACCACUUUAGGGUUUAGAGCUUACCUC
rnacentral:lncRNA from 1 species